AGAACUCUGGCUGAGAUACAUGAGGAACAAGAUGCAGUGGAAGAACACCAGCGAUCCCAGGAGACGCUCAACAGAAUAAACACACUUGAGACAUCAAAGAAAUAUCAUAUUAAGAGAACUGUUCAGAAAAUGGUGAAGACUGGCAGUCCAAAAUCAAGGUUGGUGUAUGGUGAAGCCUCUUCUCCUGGCUUUCAGAUCUCCAGCUUCUGUGCCCUUGCAUGGCUUUCUUUGGUGUGAAUGCCACGAAAAGAGCGAGUCUGGUAUCUCUUUCUCUUCUUAUAAAAACACCAGUCUUAUCAGAUUAGGGCUCCCUAAUUACUGGAACUUAUAAAUGUUACCUUCUAAGGAAAAAGAGUCUUUGCAGAUAUAAUUAAAUUAAAGAUCUUUAUAUGGAGAGAUUAUCCUGCAUUUUAUGGAUGGGCCCUGUAUGUAAUCACCAGUGCCCUCAUAAGAAAGGAGAUUUCAUGCACACAGAAGAGGAAGAGGCAAUGUGACCAUGGAGGCAAAGAUUGGAGUGAUGUGGACACAAGUCAAGGAAUGUCAGUGGUCACUAGUAGCUGAAAGAAGCAAAGAAUGGAUUCCCCUAGUGACUGUUGAUGGGGCACAGCCCUAAGUUUUGACCCAGUAAUAAUGAUUCUGGGCCUCUAGCCUCCAGAAUGAUGAGAAAAUAAAUUUCUGUUUUAAACUACC
ensembl:lncRNA novel transcript